rnacentral:tRNA from 1 species
AUCCAGAUGCGCGCCAGUGGUCUGGUGUGGGGCUUCAAACCCGUAGCUGGUGAGAAUCAGAGUGGUUCGAUUCCACCUUCUGGG